UACGGAAUGUGCAAACGUUAUUCGGAAUCACUGGGCUUAAAGAGUCCGUAGGCGGCAUGUUAGGUGAGGUGUGAAAUCCCCCGGCUCAACCGAGGAAUUGCGCUUCAAACCGGCGUGCUAGAGGAAGAUAGAGGUGGGCGGAACUGAUGGUGGAGCGGUGAAAUGCGUUGAUAUCAUCAGGAACACCGGAGGCGAAGGCGGCCCACUGGGAUGUGACUGACGCUCAUGUACGAAAGCGUGGGGAGCAAACAGG
rnacentral:rRNA from 1 species